UGGGGAAUAUUGCACAAUGGGCGCAAGCCUGAUGCAGCAACGCCGCGUGAACGAUGAAGGUCUUCGGAUUGUAAAGUUCUGUUGCAGGGGAAGAUAAUGACGGUACCCUGUGAGGAAGCCCCGGCUAACUACGUGCCAGCAGCCGCGGUAAUACGUAGGGGGCUAGCGUUGUCCGGAAUCACUGGGCGUAAAGGGUUCGCAGGCGGAAAUGCAAGUCAGGUGUAAAAGGCAGUAGCUUAACUACUGUAAGCAUUUGAAACUGCAUAUCUUGAGAAGAGUAGAGGUAAGUGGAAUUUUUAGUGUAGCGGUGAAAUGCGUAGAUAUUAAAAAGAAUACCGGUGGCGAAGGCGACUUACUGGGCUCAUUCUGACGCUGAGGAACGAAAGCGUGGGUAGCAAACAGG
rnacentral:rRNA from 1 species